rnacentral:rRNA from 1 species
UCGCUGUUGGCUCGAGCUGUUGGGAAGAGGGAGGAGUCCCGAGACAGGGUGAAGGCGCAGGCCGUGCCUGGUGAGGCGGCGCCGCCGGCCAUGGGACGCUGGACCUCGGGGAGCCCCAUCCCAGGCCCGCGCCCAAAUUCUUGAGCAAGGGAGGAUAGAUCGACGAUGGCGCAUCACAUAAGGGAAUGGGAGAUCGAGGAGAAGGGAGACGAGGGUGGGUGGUGGCUUGCAGCAUGGGGCGGUCACGUCCAAUGAGGGUGGUGUUCUGUGGAUCUGGUGCCCCCUCUCCUUUGGCGACCUCCUCCUCAAGCGUUUCAGGUGAAAUGCGGUGAGGAGCAAUGCACACGCAGCCAAUGGAUGGGAUGGUGCUGCUACUGGGCAGUCUAGGACAUCCAGUGGUUGGAGUGGGGGCUCUGUUCUGUGAGCUGACCGCUCCGUCACGAACAAGCAACCAUCUGCGGCCUUGCAAGGGUCGACACCGCCAUUGCCGCCUCAUCUGUCCUUUCCAGAUGCCAUGGUCUCCUCUCCUCUACAGAGACCUCCUCAUCUGCUGCCGAUGGCUGUGAGUUCACGGCUGCUCCGGAGCUCCAACGAGCCAAGCUGUGUGCAAAUCCGACAAAGAAGAGAAAAGGAAGAAUAUUGAGGAAGAGUUUUGGUGAAGAAGAACAAGUGGAAGGAUCGGUUUUUAUGGCAUGCACUACAAAGGAGAGAAGUGGACCAUGUGAACGUAGUACAACAUUGUUGUUAGUUCGCGCAGUCGAGGUCUGCUCAGGAAGACACAGUUCGACCGAACAGCUGUUGUGUUUUCCCAGUUGUUUGCAAAUCUGACGAAAAGGAGCAAAGAAAGAAUAUUGAGGAAUAUUUAGGUAAAGAAGAACAAGUGCAUUUAUGUUGCUUCCUGCAAGGUCAAUGAUAUGGUGCCAGCUGGAAUUCAUAUUCAAGCUAAUACAGUGACUAAAUUUGGCGAGCAGCGAGUGCCUGAUCAUGAUCUGCGGGAGGGUAACGGUUAUUAUAAUAAUUGAGUGUACCCAAUGGAGGCUGCAUUACAUAAUUAAUGGGAGGGUAAGGGCGUCCAUAGUUUUCAUUGAACUACUGCAGUUUCCAACUGAAUUUUCAUUUGCAGAUUCCGAAGAACGGAGUUCUAGGUUCUAACCAUGUCGCUUCCAUUUGUUGUAUUCUGAGAAUAAAUCUUGUUCUAUAUCCCUGCAUUGUUAUCCACCGGACUCUAAAACAAAAAUCAAUGUUUGCACAUCCAGACAAGGUAAACUUAUGAUGAGUGGACUCCACAAUAUAAAUUGACAUUCUAUGUCAGUGUAAGUGAGUCUAUACUCACCGAGGAACAAUUUGAUCUGAUAACUAUGAAAUGUUCUUUGUUGGUUUUGGUUCUAUAAGAUCAAGAUCUAUAAUUAUAUUCACUUUACAUGUUAACAUGUUGUAAAUAAAUUGUUAUCUAAUAGUCAGCAAUCUGUGGGAGCUUUUCCUCACAGUAGGGUGUGUUGUUGAUGUUUUCUUGAUCUAUCAGUGAACUUGUAUCAUGUGGCUAAUAUGUAUAUACAACGAGACUUUGUUUACGUUCGCCCUUUUUGUUCUGUGCGUGCUUGGUGAAUUGCUUACCCGGUGUGUGGCAGAAAAUAGAAAGUCGAGUUUGAUUUCUGUUGUGGCAUUGCAAUAGAUGACCAACCUUUUAUGUUAUGUGCUUUAGCUUCUUUUCAAAUUUUAGAGUGACAACCGUUUGACAAAGGGUGAAAUUUUUGGUAGGGCCUAGGUGGAAAGUAUUUGAUUAGUUUUUUGAGAGACUGAACUAUAUUUUUAAUUCUGUUUUGUGCUAAUGAACUACUUUUUAAUCACUUUCUUAUGAACGUAUAAAAUAAAUUACAUUGUAAUGUAUCAUGUUGUAUUACAUGAAAAGGUGUUGAAAAGGACGCAAUCCAUCAAAUAUAUGUAGUAUGAUAUAGGAUCCUCGCUUUAUUGUAUCCAUAUGUUGUAAGGAGAUUAUCUUGUCCAUUCAUUAUUCUUAUUAUUUGUCCUUUUCACAUUAAUCGUGAGUAGACUUGGGCCAUUGCAUUUGAUGUUGAUCUUAUUUGCAUAUUAGUCCAAGAACAACAAUUGCUCUUUGUUGUGGCAUUGCUGGAGAAAUACAAAUGUAUAUACCCGUUUCCCACUGUCCAGUCGAGGAGAUCCCUGAGGCAUUUGAUUCUUGUGGGACUCCAACACAUCUUACAGGAUCAUCAACAAGUGGCCGGGCCUCUGCAUUACUCAGAAAAGCUUCCGACAGUUUCCGAUUCAAAAGAAAACAAAUAAGAAAGGAUGCAUUGAUUAUUUUGGGUUGAUCUUGUUUGAAUUUCCAGUGAAAUUCAAACUUGAGACCUUACUCGAAGUAUUUAGUUCCAAUGGAACUAAAUGAAUUUCCCAAAAUGCCUCUUUGGGUAUUAGUUGCAUUUUUAUUUGGAUCCUUGUAUAUUCAAACAGUUUCUGAUUCAAAAGACAACAACAGUGAGAAGAUAAAAUGAUUAAGCAACACCCAAAUAGUGGUCGCAGCAGAUCUCUCUCUCAUUCUCUUUCCAGUUUGGUUGACCAUUCUUUCUGUUCUUAGGUCUUUGAUCUGCUUUCUUCUUCAAUGAAGUAGACCACGAUCUCCUACACAUUCUGCCUUGCUCCCCGGGGCAACCUUCUAUGUUUUAGAUCCACUCUUUUUUUUUGAGAGAUAAUGGGCAGCCUCAUUCAUACAUUUCAGAACUGUUCAGUACAAACUAUAUUCCUGAUAACUUCAGGAGAUACAUUAAACCAGCAUGACCCUUCAUCAUGUUCAGCAGACUUUGCUAGAACAUGUGCUGCCUCAUUACAACUUCGACUAACAUGAGUAAAACAACAGGAUAAGAACCUUGGAGCCCUACUCUUAAUAUCAAAAACUACAGCACCUGUGUGAGACCUGUCAUCCACUUUACUCUUAAUUUUGUUGAUCAAACUGGCACAAUCUGUCUCCACAAGGAUUUUCUGGAAACUGGAAUCUUCAGCAAAAAACAACGCAUGGCGCAUUGCAAUAGCUUCACCCAGCUCCGGAUUAUCAACAUGAUGAAUAAACCCUCUGCUUGCUGCCAGCACCAGACCUAGAUGAUUUCGGAUCACAACACCAAUGCCCAUGCGUUUAGUCUGGGCAAAAAUCGCAGCAUCAACAUUGACCUUGACCGACUCAGCCGGCGGCGGAGACCACUUCGGGAUUGACACCUGGUGCUCACGCCUAUUGGAGCCAGUCGACCUGAAAUUGUGCAAUAAGAUGAAAUCGACAUAAGCUCUGGUGUGUGCCGACGGAAUUCACUCUUUUCGUUCUGGUUUUAACUAUGCUUAUGAUUACCUGUCUUGCCGAAAUUCACUUGCCAUACGCAAGUCUUCUGGUGUGUGCCGACGGAAAUUAUAUUUGCGCAAUCAGAUUAGAGUAGAUAAUUUCCUAACCUUGAUUCCUUAUCGAUUGCUUACUAAAAUGUAUGUACAGUUAUUUCAUUCCAUGCUUACAAUCCACAAAGUUAAUUCUUGCGAUUUACUUCCGCUAUCAAAAUAUGUUUGAUUUCCUAUACCCGUAGGUACCAUUGUAUACCUGAAUCCAUGUGAUUUCAUGUCUCUAUGGUUAUAUUGAUUAUCUUGUAAUCUCAUGUCAUCAGUUUUCUCAGGGGUUAUUAGAUUCUUAACGGUGCUAAAACUUUGUUGGUAAUCAUUCUUAAUAUACACUCCAUUUACAGCUUGUGCCUAACCUUUGGAUUUAUCUUCUUUCAAAGUGAUCCUCAUUGGGCUGGUUGAGCUAUCCAACAAGUUUCUAGCUGAGGCAAUUUGAAAAGCUCGAGCUCCCUAAACCAGUCUACUUCGUACGUAGGCUUGAGGAGGGUGGAUAUGUGUCGGUAGUUGAGUUUUACCCCACAAAGGAGCAUUUCUGCAUUUCAGCAGAACGAAUUGCGCUGUCAGAUCCGUAUGUAAGGAUGGGGUGUUAUCGAUGAAUCAGGAUGGGGUGUUAUCGAUCAAUCACGCGGCUGUUCGAGCCCUCAGGUUCAUGGAACGGAGAGAGCACAAGGUGCUUCUUGAUUUCAACUAUGAGCAUCUGCAAGAAGAAAAAAAAAGGCAUAUGCAAGCAUCACAAACAAGCUACUCGAAAAAGGAAAAGAAAUUAAGAAGCACAAGAAGACCAUCAAACAGAUGACUAGGGAAGGGUGCGAGUAUGUGGAUGAAGUGUGUGUUGCACCAAACGAAAUCCAUUAUCAUGCUGGAGCUACCUACUGCUUCUUCAAUGACAGACAUGCUCUUCUGGAGAUUCAUGAUGUCGUGGUUGAACUUCAAAGCAUUACAAGCGCGGCAUGUCUCUCACUGCAGCAGAAAGGUAUAUACCCAUAUGAUCCAAGCUCAGACUCAAGUUGUGGUGUGGAUUUUGUUAAUGAGAUGGGUGAUGGCUACAACUAUGAGUGAUCACCGUAGGCAUAGGCUUACUCUUAGGCAGUCUGGUAUGCAUACUAAACGCAGCUAUGAACACUAUGCGUUGUACUGACUUUGAUGCAUCUCUCUCCAUGUAACUUUGCUUAUCAUAAACUAAUCUCAAGCCUUUCUUUUGGCCUAUGAACCUACCUUUAAUGUAAUAGAUAACGCUAUCAUACAUAAAUAUCUACUUCCUUGCUUCAAAGAUUUAAUGACUGGUCUCUAAAUAUUCUUUUCUUCCAUGGUUCGCUCUCGCCCUUUGCGCCAUUGGCGCAACGGGACGGGCUCCCCUGCAUCCUCCUCCUCGCGGGCGAGGACGACGCCUCCGGAGUGAGCUGAGGGUGGGGGGCGGGUCAAGGCUGCUGUUGGCGGCCUGGAUGCAGGCGAUGGUGGCGGCCGGCGGGGGUCUGGCGGGCGAGGGAAGGAGCAGCAAGACUGGUGAUGGGCCAAGCGCCACCAGAGGAGGGGGAAGGGGCGACUUCGUGCUUCGCAACAACAGUUCGUGUCCAUGAAAAAAUUGUGGUGGUGAUGGUUGAUCUAAGUAUCAGAUUGGUUAUAUGGAAAUGGGGCUUUACUUCCGGAGAUGUUCCCAAUGAAGGAGCUUCGAGGCGAGCACUCCAAUGAUGUAGUUUUGUAUAUGGCAUAAUCUUUAAUGAAGAUGAUCGGGAAAGCUCAAGGACAGCCCCUGGUUGAGGAGGCCGAGGAAAGCCCACAGUCGAGGAGGGGAUGCUCGGCACAGCUAGGGUUUGGGUGGGGGUUGGUUCCAACACCGAUGAUGACAUUGGCCAACAGCGGCACAUCCCUCGAUUUCCAUAACCUCACACCAUGAGUAUGAGGUUGCAUAGGCAGCUGGAGCUUGUCCCCUGCGCCCUUCUCUGGUCGUAGAUAAAACUGUCAUGUUGCUUUAGAUUUAAGUGGCCAGGUCUUGAUAGUAGGCAUGGCUGAACGCGCCUUUUGUUGAAUUUGGACACCAUCUAUAAUAUAGCUAUUUGUUUAGGAGCUUGAACAAGUCUCGGUAUAUGUUAAUUUUGCAGAACUGAAUGUUAGCACAGAAUUGUAUGAGUCUCGGUCCAGUCAAGGUUUCUUUGUCUGCAAUUGAAAAUUAUGUGAGAACUGGGUUUUUCCUCCAAUACCCCAAUUUCAGCAGAUAUUGAAAACCUCGAGAGUUUGGUGCCAUUUGUCACGCUUGUAUACUUAAU